rnacentral:rRNA from 1 species
UACGUAGGGGGCAAGCGUUGUCCGGAAUCAUUGGGCGUAAAGCGCGUGUAGGCGGCCAGAAAAGUCCGCUGUGAAAACUCGAGGCUCAACUUCGAGCUGUCGGUGGAAACUUUCUGGCUAGAGUCCGGAAGAGGAGAAUGGAAUUCCUGGUGUAGCGGUGAAAUGCGCAGAUAUCAGGAGGAACACCGGUGGCGAAGGCGGCGCUCUGGAACAUUUCUGACGCUGAGGCUCGAAAGCGUGGGGAGCAAACAGG